GCACAAGCGGUGGAGCAUGUGGCUUAAUUCGAUGCAACGCGAAGAACCUUACCUAGGCUUGACAUGCAGGGAAAUCUCGUAGAGAUACGGGGUCCGCAAGGGCCUUGCACAGGUGGUGCAUGGCUGUCGUCAGCUCGUGUCGUGAGAUGUUGGGUUAAGUCCCGCAACGAGCGCAACCCUCGUCCUAUGUUGCCAGCGAGUAAUGUCGGGGACUCAUAGGAGACUGCCGGGGUCAACUCGGAGGAGGGUGGGGAUGACGUCAAGUCAUCAUGCCCCUUAUGUCUAGGGCUGCACACAUGCUACAAUGGCCGGUACAAAGAGCUGCGAUACCGCGAGGUGGAGCGAAUCUCAUAAAGCCGGUCUCAGUUCGGAUUGGGGUCUGCAACUCGACCCCAUGAAGUCGGAGUCGCUAGUAAUCGCAGAUCAGCAACGCUGCGGUGAAUACGUUCCCGGGC
rnacentral:rRNA from 1 species